UACGUAGGGUGCAAGCGUUAAUCGGAAUUACUGGGCGUAAAGCGUGCGCAGGCGGUUUUGUAAGUUUGUCGUGAAAUCCCCGGGCUCAACCUGGGAAUUGCGAUGAAGACUGCAAGGCUAGAAUCUGGCAGAGGGGGGUAGAAUUCCACGUGUGAGCAGUGAAAUGCGUAGAGAUGUGGAGGAACACCGAUGGCGGAAGGCGAGCCCCCUGGUCCAAGGAGCCCU
rnacentral:rRNA from 1 species